rnacentral:misc_RNA from 1 species
AAAAAAAAAAAAAAAAAACCUAGUUGCUGGACUGACCUUUCUCUUGUAGAAUUUAGUUUGUUGUGUGUUAAUGUUUGUGCGUGCAUGGCAUGUGAUUGCGUGUAGAAUUGGAUGAAUCUAGUUGUUGUUGUUGUUGAAUUGAGGCAAACUCUUAGUUUAGUUUGUAGAUAAUAAUCUGAAUCUGACAGCAACAAUGGUUUCCCGUUUGUUUUUACUUUG